UACGAAGGGGACUAGCGUUGCUCGGAAUCACUGGGCGUAAAGGGUGCGUAGGCGGGUCUUUAAGUCAGGGGUGAAAUCCUGGAGCUCAACUCCGGAACUGCCCUUGAAACUGCAGUGCUAGAAUUCUGGAGAGGCGAGUGGAAUUCCGAGUGUAGAGGUGAAAUUCGUAGAUAUUCGGAAGAACACCAGUGGCGAAGGCGACUCGCUGGACAGACAUUGACGCUGAGGUGCGAAAGCGUGGGGAGCAAACAGG
rnacentral:rRNA from 1 species